UUGUUACUUAUGUUAUAUUUAUACACGUAUAUGCAUUAAUUAUGUAUUGGUGUAGCGAUAAAGUAAGAAAGAUUACGUUUAAGUUAAUUAAAUAUAUUUAUAUAUUUUUAAGAUGUGAUGUGCAAGUUACUUUUAUAUAAUAAAGAUCCUUCUGACGUUUUAUUUAAGGAAAGGUUGUGUCUCACUCUGCUGAUGUCAUUUGCUAUAAAUGUUUGAUGAAUCAUGUACUUCUAAAUAAUGAGCUGUAUGGAAGAUAAUUCGUAAGGUAAUCACUGUUAAUGUAAAGACUGUACACGUUUACUAGUUGCUGACAUGCAAUCUUAUAGGAGAUGAUGGACAGUUUGGCAUGCGUGUUGUGUCUACUAAAGUCCAUUCAACUAGUGUACUAAAUAAUCAAGUUAAGAUUUUUGUUGACUUUUUUAUCAAAUAAUAUGGAGUCGUUUGCACAUUACAUUAUUCCAACUGCAAUCUGGCAUGAUUCCAAGGACAUGUUUGUAAUGUUAGUGGAAAACUAAAGUCCAGCUGCAAGUUAUGGGAAAAACGUCAGCAAAUUGAAGAAAGAGGAAAAAAAUUUAAAAAAAAAAACAAAAAAUUUAAAAUUCACCUGCAAAACAAGCGCCAGUUAUUAUUGGAUAAAGUAAUAAGUUGAUUUUUAAUGGAUUUUUUUGAAGAAAAUAAACUCGAUAAGUACUUAUCAUUACUUUUAUCGCAUAUUU